GUGGGGAAUUUUGGACAAUGGGCGCAAGCCUGAUCCAGCAAUGCCGCGUGCAGGAAGAAGGCCUUCGGGUUGUAAACUGCUUUUGUACGGAACGAAACGGUCCGGGUUAAUACCCUGGGCUAAUGACGGUACCGUAAGAAUAAGCACCGGCUAACUACGUGCCAGCAGCCGCGGUAAUACGUAGGGUGCAAGCGUUAAUCGGAAUUACUGGGCGUAAAGCGUGCGCAGGCGGUUUUGUAAGACAGGCGUGAAAUCCCCGGGGGCAACCUGGGAAUUGCGCUUGUGACUGCAAGGCUGGAGUGCUGCAGAGGGGGAUGGAAUUCCGCGUGUAGCAGUGAAAUGCGUAGAUAUGCGGAGGAACACCGAUGGCGAAGGCAAUCCCCUGGGCCUGCACUGACGCUCAUGCACGAAAGCGUGGGGAGCAAACAGGAUUAGAAACCCGGGUAGUCC
rnacentral:rRNA from 1 species